AUUGUAGGUUUUGUUUUGGUUUGGAAGGUCAGGGUAUCACUGUCUAGCCUAUGCUAGCCUGUGACUCUCAGUUCUCCUUGCCUUAAUGUCCCCAGUGAUGAAAGAUUCGUGUUACCACAUUCAGAAGAACUUUUGCCUGAAUGGAUCUAUGUGGAUAUUUGUUCCGGGAGAACUGCUAGAUCCCUUGCAAACUGACUUAGCUCAGAGGUUGAUAUGGAGGUGCUUUGCUUCAAUUCUGUAUACCGAACUCCGGCCUCAUAUGUGCCGUUCCAGCAAACUUAAUCACAAUGAGGCAAACCUUGGAAAACUCCAAGCACACCUGGGCUGGCUUUAGCUGUGAGGCAACCUGGCUUCCAGGCUUCGUUGCCCGAGCAUGCUGCGCCGCCCAGGAACGCGUGGGACACAGGGCUGUGUGUCGGAGUGUUGGCACAACCACCCAGCAGCAACUCUCCCCAGUUCCAUGCCACUGGUAUUGAACUCUCUGUGUCAACUGAGAUGACACGUGUACCAACCCGGGAGGCUGAGCGCAGGGAAAGCGAAUCUACUGCAGGAGAGGCGCCACCCCCUUCCGGCCACCUAAAAGAAGGGACCUGACCUCAAGGAACCAGUUGCCCUGCACUGCGGAGAAAGAGAGUGCUGGAAAAAUGAUCACAAAACUGCCGAGAUGGCUUUUUGUGCCGAGCUGCCGGUUUCACGUGGAAAUUUUUCCACAGCUGCGGCCAUUUGUCUGAAUCAACAGCAGCCCUGUUUUGUUUUGUUUGAGGCUUUGACAAAUCCCGGAAUCCUGCGCUCUACUCUCCCGUGGGAAGAAAAGAGGAUGGGAUCUAUAGAUGCUGCAUCCUGUAUUUGGAUAUUUUCCCUAGAUUUCUCCUGAGCUGGAAAGAGGAAGUCUUGGCUCUGGGACUAAGAGCCAAGAGCAGGGUUUGGCCUUGAGGACUGUCAUAGCCCUGGCUUGGCUGCAGGGACUAUGUGGAAACCUGGAUCUGGUCCGCACCCCCGUGCCCAGGCUGCUCUCCCAGUUUCCACAGCUGCUUAUCCCAGCUGUUGCUGAACUGGCUUCACCUACCACCCUCACACUUGCCCAGAGGACUUUUUACUGGGGAAGGCAGGGUCCUGAGUCAGGAAGAGAAAUAUACAGUUCCCUCUCCUCCAGGGCUAAUAGAAGGGUACAAAACAGAAUCAGUUCAGAAAGAACAACAGAGGAC
rnacentral:lncRNA from 1 species